rnacentral:rRNA from 1 species
AUACGUAGGGGGCGAGCGUUGUCCGGAAUUACUGGGCGUAAAGAGCACGUAGGCGGCUAUAUAAGUCAGAUGUGAAAAACCUGGGCUUAACCGAGGGUAUGCAUCUGAAACUAUAUAGCUUGAGUCAAGGAGAGGAGAGCGGAAUUCCUGGUGUAGCGGUGAAAUGCGUAGAGAUCAGGAAGAAUACCAGUGGCGAAAGCGGCUCUCUGGACUUGAACUGACGCUGAGGUGCGAAUGCGUGGGGAGCAAACAGGAUUAGAUACACUGGUAGUCCACGACGUAAACGAUGGAUACUAGGUGUGGGUGAGGAAUCAUCCGUGCCGGAGUUAACGCAAUAAGUAUCCCGCCUGGGGAGUACGGCCGCAAGGUUGAA